CUUCUUGAUUUAAUAUGAAGUCGUGCCUGCCCACUGAUUAAUUAAAUGGCCGCGGUAUAUUGACCGUGCAAAGGUAGCAUAAUCAUUAGUCUUUUAAUUGGAGGCUGGAAUGAAUGGUUUGACGAAGCAAUAACUGUCUCGGUAUAAUGUAUUGAAUUUUACUUUUGAGUCAAAAGGCUCAAAUGAGGAUAGGGGACGAGAAGACCCUAUAGAUCUUGAUAAUGGAUAUUAAAAUUUGUGUUUAGUAGUUUUUUGUAAAUAUUAAUAUCUUAUAUUUGGUUGGGGUGACAAGAGAAUAUAAUAACUUCUUAUUAUUUUACUAUGAUGGUUGGUUAAUUGAUCCUAUAUUUUGGAAUGAAGAUAAAGAUACCUUAGGGAUAACAGCGUAAUUUUAUUGGAGAGUUCUUAUUGAUAAUAAAGAUUGCGACCUCGAUGUUGGAUUAAGAAAAUUGUUAAGUGCAGAAGCUUAAUAUAUUGGUCUGUUC
rnacentral:rRNA from 1 species